GAUGAACGCUGGCGGCGUGCUUAACACAUGCAAGUCGAACGGAAAGGCUCCUGCUUGCAGGGGUACUCGAGUGGCGAACGGGUGAGUAACACGUGGGUGAUCUGCCCUGCACUUCGGGAUAAGCCUGGGAAACUGGGUCUAAUACCGGAUAGGACGAUGGUUUGGAUGCCAUUGUGGAAAGUUUUUCGGUGUGGGAUGAGCUCGCGGCCUAUCAGCUUGUUGGUGGGGUAAUGGCCUACCAAGGCGUCGACGGGUAGCCGGCCUGAGAGGGUGUACGGCCACAUUGGGACUGAGAUACGGCCCAGACUCCUACGGGAGGCAGCAGUGGGAAAUAUUGCACAAUGGGCGCAAGCCUGAUGCAGCGACGCCGCGUGGGGGAUGACGGCCUUCGGGUUGUAAACUCCUUUCGCUAGGGACGAAGCGCAAGUGACGGUACCUGGAGAAGAAGCACCGGCUAACUACGUG
rnacentral:rRNA from 1 species